ACCAAGAAACCUACCAGGAUAUGAAGACAGAACUGUAAUUAAAGUGCAUGAUGGACCAUGUGAACACUCCUCAGAUGAGUUUGAACACUAAUAAAAGUUACUGAGUUCUCAGAGAGCCGUGUGGAGUAUGACUGACUCUUCAAAGAUUCCCAAUUUGGGAGCCAGGGUCUGGAGUUCAGUGGUAGAGUACACUAUUGUG